UACGAAGGGGGCUAGCGUUGCUCGGAAUCACUGGGCGUAAAGGGUGCGUAGGCGGGUCUUUAAGUCAGGGGUGAAAUCCUGGAGCUCAACUCCAGAACUGCCUUUGAUACUGAAGAUCUUGAGUUCGGGGAGAGGUGAGUGGAACUGCGAGUGUAGAGGUGAAAUUCGUAGAUAUUCGCAAGAACACCAGUGGCGAAGGCGGCUCACUGGCCCGAUACUGACGCUGAGGCACGAAGCGUGGGGAGCAAACAGG
rnacentral:rRNA from 1 species